rnacentral:rRNA from 1 species
AGAGUUUGAUCCUGGCUCAGGAUGAACGCUAGCGACAGGCUUAACACAUGCAAGUCGAGGGGCAGCGGUGGUGAAGGCUUGCCUUCACCAGCCGGCGACCGGCGCACGGGUGAGUAACACGUAUGCAACCUGCCUGCCACAGCCGGAUAAUCGGGAGAAAUUCCGUCUAAUACGGCAUAAUGCAUCGACGGGACAUCCUGUUGGUGCCAAAGGUUGAUUCCGGUGGCGGAUGGGCAUGCGGCGCAUUAGGCAGUAGGCGGGGUAACGGCCCACCUAACCGACGAUGCGUAGGGGUUCUGAGAGGAAGGUCCCCCACACUGGUACUGAGACACGGACCAGACUCCUACGGGAGGCAGCAGUGAGGAAUAUUGGUCAAUGGUCGGGAGACUGAACCAGCCAAGCCGCGUGAGGGAGGAAGGUACAGAGUAUCGUAAACCUCUUUUGUCAGGGAACAAAGACGGGGACGCGUCCCCGGAUGAGUGUACCUGAAGAAAAAGCAUCGGCUAACUCCGUGCCAGCAGCCGCGGUAAUACGGAGGAUGCGAGCGUUAUCCGGAUUUAUUGGGUUUAAAGGGUGCGCAGGCGGUCUGUUAAGUCAGCGGUCAAAGCCCGGGGCUCAACCCCGGCCCGCCGUUGAAACUGGCAGUCUCGAGUUGGAGAGAAGUAUGCGGAAUGCGCGGUGUAGCGGUGAAAUGCAUAGAUAUCGCGCAGAACUCCGAUUGCGAAGGCAGCAUGCCGGCUCCACACUGACGCUGAGGCACGAAAGCGUGGGUAUCGAACAGGAUUAGAUACCCUGGUAGUCCACGCAGUAAACGAUGAAUGCUGGCUGUCCGGGGGGGAUUGACCCCUGGGUGGCGAAGCGAAAGCGAUAAGCAUUCCACCUGGGGAGUACGCCGGCAACGGUGAAACUCAAAGGAAUUGACGGGGGCCCGCACAAGCGGAGGAACAUGUGGUUUAAUUCGAUGAUACGCGAGGAACCUUACCCGGGCUCAAACGGGGAGUGACUCAGGCAGAGACGCCUGUUUCCCACGGGACACUCCCCGAGGUGCUGCAUGGUUGUCGUCAGCUCGUGCCGUGAGGUGUCGGCUUAAGUGCCAUAACGAGCGCAACCCCCGCGUGCAGUUGCUAACAGAUAACGCUGAGGACUCUGCACGGACUGCCGGCGCAAGCCGCGAGGAAGGCGGGGAUGACGUCAAAUCAGCACGGCCCUUACGUCCGGGGCGACACACGUGUUACAAUGGGUGGUACAGCGGGAAGCCAGGCGGCGACGCCGAGCGGAACCCGAAAUCCACUCUCAGUUCGGAUCGGAGUCUGCAACCCGACUCCGUGAAGCUGGAUUCGCUAGUAAUCGCGCAUCAGCCACGGCGCGGUGAAUACGUUCCCGGGCCUUGCACACACCGCCCGUCAAG